UUCGUCUCUUUGCCUGGUUUUACUUCUUGAGCUCAUAAGUAAUGGUCUCUCGCUUGUUUAUUCAAUUUGUUUUCUAAAGUUUUCAGAAGCUUCUGAAAUUUCUGCAACCAUACAAAGAGGUAUGUGAUACUGUUAUUUUUUCUUUCAAAUUUCAUGUGAAAUUUCUCAUCUUCCUCUAAAGCAAUUUGACCUAUUUGUUAUUGUCUUCGUAAAACAGUAGUAAUUUUCUACUCUACUCUUUUUUUUUUUUUAUUUAGUGUCAUUGUUUGUAACUUUCAAUUCUAUUGAUUUGUUUUUUUUCAUUUUGAAACAAAAAAUCUAAUCACGAAUAAGCAUGGGUUUACGGUGAGAAAUUUUGCUACUGAAACCCUAAUCAAGGCUAAGUAUGGAUUUGUAGUGAGAAAUGCGACGUGCGUCGCCAUACGCUACACCUAGAGCUGAAAUUUUGUCAAAUCACAAUUUAAUGAUCAUGGUUUACCUUAGUGCCCAUUAGUUGACGUAUACAACUUACAUCAUAAUUUAAGGGCAACAAGAUAUAAAACAAGGAUAAUGUGCACCUAGAGCAUGUGGAUUUGUCUCUCAAGUGCAAGCUACGAGAGCAGAUAGUUGGACCAUCAGGGCUAGUAGCAGCUAGGGAGUUGAGAAAAGAGGGUUACAGGGUGGUUGUGUUAGAGAAGAAUCAUGAUGUUGGAGGGCAGUGGCUUUAUCAGGCAAAUGUGGAAGAAGAGGACCAUUUAGGGAGAAAGCCUUUUCUAAAGAAUGGAUACAUGGAAAAGAAAACAAAUGCAUAGUCACAUAUAUAGGACCCCAAAACCAUUCAAUAAUGAGAUUGUGGUGGUGGUUGGAAAUUCUUUGAGUGGGCAAGGAAUAUCAAUAGUGCUUGUGGAAGUAGCAAAGAAAGUCAACAUGAGUUUCAGAUCUCACUACAAGGCAUAUCAAUAGAUUUAUUUUUGUCAUCUUGUAUCCUUGAAUUGUAUAUAAUGCAUGAAUCAUUGUGACUUUUCUUCCCAACUCACUUCAAGGAAAGACUAACCGAUAAGAUUCUGAAAGUCAUUCGUUUAAAGCAAGCUCUUGCCAUUUUGUGCAUAUGAAUGUUGUGUAGUGAUUAAAUCAAAUGAUGUGGCUAUUGCAAUAGUAGAGAAAGUGGCUAAGGGUGCUAUCACCAAACUUCUUGUUGGAGCUUUAUCGUGUGGCAUAUUUGAAAGAUUUUGGGAAGGAUUGUAUUCUUGUGUAGAGAAGAUUUGAAGAGUUCUGUUAUUCAGGAGCAUAUAAAUAGAUUCUAGAAGGGGUUGCGGCAAGCGACCUUCUUUUAUAAGGAUUUUGAUGUUAAUGAUGUUAAAUUUGAUGUAAAUAAAGAUGUGGUUGAUGGUAUACUUGUGGAUGAGGUGGAGUCUAGCCUUGAGGAGGAUGUGGGGAAGAUGGCGGAGGCGGAGAAAGUAGAUGCAAAUCCUGAUGAUGCUGGGGAUGCGAAAGAUGCUUAAUAGGGGCGACUUAGGAUUCAUAUUUGAAUAUUUUCAAUUUGACUUUGAUUCUAAGUCUGUAUUGAUCCGUACAUUUUCUAUAUUUUCGUUAAUCCGUACACUAUCUUCUUUAUCGUUAA